rnacentral:lncRNA from 1 species
GCGAGAACUUGUUUUUCCGGGAUGGAAAUGACAGUGUUUCGGAAGAGCUGUUGGUUUCAAACUAUUUAGAGCUUGGAAGUUCCAAGAAAGACACAGAUUCGUCCCCCGCUAAGCCAGCACUUUUACGGGAUCGCUGUGGGGCCGGAUGGCUUCUAGACUUCCGGGUGAUUCCGGGAGAUGGGGGACGCCUUGCACUCUGCUUUCCUCUCCUUGUGGAAUUCUAAAGGCUGUAGUCACAAGAUACCAGCCAGCAGCAAUAACUGGAGAACUUUCUUCAUUGUCCGUGACAAGAGAGUUACUCUCCCCAAACAGUCUAUCUUUCAAUCCAACUGGACCAACUUAGGCCAUGUUCCCAUUCUUAGCUCAGUAAUACUAGGGAAAUACCCUAAGCCUGUGUUUCUGAAAAUGGUUGGGGAGAGGUGAGGUGACAUUUGGUAAUGUCUGGAGACAUUUAUGGUUGUCACAACUGUGGGGGGUGGGUCCUACUGGUAUCUAGUAUAUAGAGACCAGGGAUACUGCUAAACAUUUUACAAGGCACAGAACAGCUCCCCACCACAAAGAAUUAUAUGGCUCAAAAUAGUACCAGGGUUGAGAAGCCCUGCUUUAAGCUUAUUAUUUUAAGUCUAUAUUCCUAACUAAGCACUGUCAAGAGGAUGAGAUUAUCAUUAUUAGAUUAAAUUUAUCAGAACCUACUACAGCUCUGAAUAGGUUCUGCUUCCCUAGGUACAUUAAGGGCGAACACCUAAACUAAAAGGAAGUGUUACAAGAGGAAAA